GGGUUGUGAGGUUAAGCGACUAAGCGUACACGGUGGAUGCCCUGGCAGUCAGAGGCGAUGAAGGGCGUGCUAAUCUGCGAUAAGCGCCGGUAAGGUGAUAUGAACCGUUAUAACCGGCGAUACCCGAAUGGGGAAACCCAGUGUGAUUCGUCACACUAUCAUUACGUGAAUACAUAGCGUAAUGAAGCGAACCGGGGGAACUGAAACAUCUAAGUACCCCGAGGAAAAGAAAUCAACCGAGAUUCCCCCAGUAGCGGCGAGCGAACGGGGAGGAGCCCAGAGCCUGAAUCAGCAUGUGUGUUAGUGGAAGCGUCUGGAAAGGCGCGCGAUACAGGGUGACAGCCCCGUACACAAAAGCGCAUGUGUUGUGAGCUCGAUGAGUAGGGCGGGACACGUGGUAUCCUGUCUGAAUAUGGGGGGACCAUCCUCCAAGGCUAAAUACUCCUGACUGACCGAUAGUGAACCAGUACCGUGAGGGAAAGGCGAAAAGAACCCCGGCGAGGGGAGUGAAAAAGAACCUGAAACCGUGUACGUACAAGCAGUGGGAGCACCCUUUGGGGUGUGACUGCGUACCUUUUGUAUAAUGGGUCAGCGACUUAUAUUCUGUAGCAAGGUUAACCGUAUAGGGGAGCCGUAGGGAAACCGAGUCUUAACCGGGCGUUAAGUUGCAGGGUAUAGACCCGAAACCCGGUGAUCUAGCCAUGGGCAGGUUGAAGGUUGGGUAACACUAACUGGAGGACCGAACCGACUAAUGUUGAAAAAUUAGCGGAUGACCUGUGGCUGGGGGUGAAAGGCCAAUCAAACCGGGAGAUAGCUGGUUCUCCCCGAAAGCUAUUUAGGUAGCGCCUCGUGAAUUCAUCUCCGGGGGUAGAGCACUGUUUCGGCUAGGGGGCCAUCCCGGCUUACCAACCCGAUGCAAACUGCGAAUACCGGAGAAUGUUAUCACGGGAGACACACGGCGGGUGCUAACGUCCGUCGUGAAGAGGGAAACAACCCAGACCGCCAGCUAAGGUCCCAAAGUCAUGGUUAAGUGGGAAACGAUGUGGGAAGGCCCAGACAGCCAGGAUGUUGGCUUAGAAGCAGCCAUCAUUUAAAGAAAGCGUAAUAGCUCACUGGUCGAGUCGGCCUGCGCGGAAGAUGUAACGGGGCUAAACUAUGCACCGAAGCUGCGGCAGCGACACUAUGUGUUGUUGGGUAGGGGAGCGUUCUGUAAGCCUGUGAAGGUGUGUCGUGAGGCAUGCUGGAGGUAUCAGAAGUGCGAAUGCUGACAUAAGUAACGAUAAAGCGGGUGAAAAGCCCGCUCGCCGGAAGACCAAGGGUUCCUGUCCAACGUUAAUCGGGGCAGGGUGAGUCGACCCCUAAGGCGAGGCCGAAAGGCGUAGUCGAUGGGAAACGGGUUAAUAUUCCCGUACUUGGUGUUACUGCGAAGGGGGGACGGAGAAGGCUAUGUUGGCCGGGCGACGGUUGUCCCGGUUUAAGCGUGUAGGUGUGUGUUCCAGGUAAAUCCGGUUCACUUUAACACUGAGGCGUGACGACGAGGCACUACGGUGCUGAAGCAACAAAUGCCCUGCUUCCAGGAAAAGCCUCUAAGCAUCAGGUAACAUCAAAUCGUACCCCAAACCGACACAGGUGGUCAGGUAGAGAAUACCAAGGCGCUUGAGAGAACUCGGGUGAAGGAACUAGGCAAAAUGGUGCCGUAACUUCGGGAGAAGGCACGCUGACACGUAGGUGAAGUGAUUUACUCAUGGAGCUGAAGUCAGUCGAAGAUACCAGCUGGCUGCAACUGUUUAUUAAAAACACAGCACUGUGCAAACACGAAAGUGGACGUAUACGGUGUGACGCCUGCCCGGUGCCGGAAGGUUAAUUGAUGGGGUCAGCGCAAGCGAAGCUCCUGAUCGAAGCCCCGGUAAACGGCGGCCGUAACUAUAACGGUCCUAAGGUAGCGAAAUUCCUUGUCGGGUAAGUUCCGACCUGCACGAAUGGCGUAAUGAUGGCCAGGCUGUCUCCACCCGAGACUCAGUGAAAUUGAACUCGCUGUGAAGAUGCAGUGUACCCGCGGCAAGACGGAAAGACCCCGUGAACCUUUACUAUAGCUUGACACUGAACAUUGAGCCUUGAUGUGUAG
rnacentral:rRNA from 1 species